AGUCUCAGUUCGGAUUGGAGUCUGNAACCCGACUCCAUGAAGCUGGAUUCGCUAGUAAUCGCGCAUCAGCCACGGCGCGGUGAAUACGUUCCCGGGCCUUGUACACACCGCCCGUCAAGCCAUGGAAGCCGGGAGUGCCUGAAGUACGCGACCGCAAGGAGCGUCCUAAGGUAAAACCGGUGACUGGGGCUAAGUCGUAACAAGGUACC
rnacentral:rRNA from 1 species